rnacentral:lncRNA from 1 species
ACAAGCUACUACCUUUCACAAUUACUUAUCUAAGUUAAACAUUUUUUUUUUCUUAUUGAACAGCCAAAAAAAUUCAACUACAAGUUGGGUGUUAAAACAUAUGAUUGAAAAUACCAAGUAAGAACCCCAAUUUCAAGUAAUUAUGUUCAUUAAAACAGGCUCAUGUACCUCAUAAAUUGAAUUAAUAAUAAGCAAAUGAUAUAAAUUUGAAAAUUUUGAAUAAAGUGAUAUUAAUAAAAUUACCCUUUUAUCUGAUGAAUCCAUGUAUUUUUGCACAGUUGUUGCCUUGUAAGAAAUGGAUGGAAAGUGACUCUGCAGAAAUCCUAAGUGCAAGCAGACAAGGCAAGAACUUCGAGAGGUGAGAGGAAAUAAAAGAAAUGGUUUCACCCCUUGCUCUGAGGUGCUGGUGGGAAGAGAAUGUGAAGCCUCCUGCAGGAACAUGGAAGAUGGGUCCUGCGACAAGGAGGGAGAAAGGCUAUCAGGGUUAUCUCUGUCAACACCAGUGAUUUUAGAGAGAAUGACAAAUAUAGAAGAUGUGGAAGACAAGUACUGGACAUGUCCUGAUCAAGACAAAUAUUGAAAGGAACACAGAUGGGAAAAAAUUGAUCCUAACUGGAAGCUAUAUGGCUGCCAUGAAAAUUAAAUCCUGGUGAGUUUCUCAAUAUGUGAACUAUUGUACUCUUACAGAGAAAUCUAGGCACAGGCUAGGACUGAGAUUCAGGACAGAAAAAAUGACCCAUAAUAGUUUAAAACCAUGAAACAGACAGUGAUGGAUAAUUCAUCUAAUAAUCCAAUUCGCCAAGUGUUACAUACUUAAGUUCUAAGUAAAGGAACCACUGAACUAGAAUGGCAGUUAGAGGAAAUCCAAAAUUCUGAAAGUAGUAGGGGCCAAAAGGAAUUAAGGUCACCUGUCAAAAGGAAUGAUACUAAGAGUAAUGCUAGGAAUCUAGACUCACAUGAAUCCAGUGAUCACAAAACACAUCCUACUGGUAACAGAGAAAUACACCUAAAGAAUAAAUGUGGUCGGUUCUAUAAAAAUGCA